AUGGCGAUGAGGAAGGAGGUCCUGCUGGUGGCCAUGAUGCUGGCGCUGGUUGUGGCGGCGCCAGGCGGGGCGCUCGCGGCGUGCGAGGUGGGGCAGCUGACGGUGUGCAUGCCCGCGAUCACCACCGGCGCGAAGCCGAGCGACGCGUGCUGUGGCAACCUGCGCGCGCAGCAGGCGUGCUUCUGCCAGUACGCCAAGGACCCCUCCCUCGCUCGCUACAUCACUAGCGCGUAG
rnacentral:rRNA from 1 species